UACGUAGGGGGCAAGCGUUGUCCGGAAUCAUUGGGCGUAAAGAGCGCGUAGGCGGCCCGAUAAGUCCGCUGUGAAAGUCAAGGGCUCAACCCUUGAAUGCCGGUGGAUACUGUCGGGCUAGAGUCCGGAAGAGGCGAGUGGAAUUCCUGGUGUAGCGGUGAAAUGCGCAGAUAUCAGGAAGAACACCUAUGGCGAAGGCAGCUCUCUGGGACGGUACUGACGCUGAGACGCGAAAGCGUGGGGAGCGAACAGG
rnacentral:rRNA from 1 species